rnacentral:rRNA from 1 species
ACACUGGAACUGAGACACGGUCCAGACACCGUACGGGUGGCAGCAGUCGAGAAUUUUUCACAAUGGGCGAAAGCCUGAUGGAGCGACGCCGCGUGGGGGAUGAAUGGCUUCGGCCCGUAAACCCCUGUCAUUUGCGACUAAACUCUGAAAUUGAACAGAUUUCAGACUGAAAGUAGCGAAAGAGGAAGGGACGGCUAACUCUGUGCCAGCAGCCGCGGUAAUACGUAGGGUGCGAGCGUUAAUCGGAAUUACUGGGCGUAAAGCGUGCGCAGGCGGUUAUGUAAGACAGAUGUGAAAUCCCCGGGCUCAACCUGGGACCUGCAUUUGUGACUGCAUAGCUAGAGUACGGUAGAGGGGGAUGGAAUUCCGCGUGUAGCAGUGAAAUGCGUAGAUAUGCGGAGGAACACCGAUGGCGAAGGCAAUCCCCUGGACCUGUACUGACGCUCAUGCACGAAAGCGUGGGGAGCAAACAGGAUUAGAUACCCUGGUAGUCCACGCCCUAAACGAUGUC